AGCGAACGCUGGCGGCAGGCCUAACACAUGCAAGUCGAACGAACCCUUCGGGGUUAGUGGCGGACGGGUGAGUAACACGUGGGAACGUGCCUUUAGGUUCGGGAUAACUCAGGGACACUUGUGCUAAUACCGAAUGUGCCCUUCGGGGGAAAGAUUUAUCGCCUUUAGAGCGGCCCGCGUCUGAUUAGCUAGUUGGUGAGGUAAUGGCUCACCAAGGCUACGAUCAGUAGCUGGUCUGAGAGGAUGACCAGCCACAUUGGGACUGAGACACGGCCCAAACUCCUACGGGAGGCAGCAGUGGGGAAUCUUGCGCAAUGGGCGAAAGCCUGACGCAGCCAUGCCGCGUGGAUGAUGAAGGUCUUAGGAUUGUAAAAUCCUUUCACCGGUGAAGAUAAUGACUGUAGCCGGAGAAGAAGCCCCGGCUAACUUCGUGCCAGCAGCCGCCGUAA
rnacentral:rRNA from 1 species